GAUGAACGCCGGCGGCGUGCCUAAUACAUGCAAGUCGAGCGAAUGGAUUAAGAGCUUGCUCUUAUGAAGUUAGCGGCGGACGGGUGAGUAACACGUGGGUAACCUGCCCAUAAGACUGGGAUAACUCCGGGAAACCGGGGCUAAUACCGGAUACCAUUUUGAACCGCAUGGUUCGAAAUUGAAAGGCGGCUUCGGCUGUCACUUAUGGAUGGACCCGCGUCGCAUUAGCUAGUUGGUGAGGUAACGGCUCACCAAGGCAACGAUGCGUAGCCGACCGGUGAGGGUGAGCGGCCACACGGGGACUGAGACACGACCCAGACUCCUACGGGAGGCAGCAGUAGGUAAUCUUCCGCAAUGGACGAAAGUCUGACGGAGCAACGCCGCGUGAGUGAUGAAGGCUUUCGGGUCGUAAAACUCUGUUGUUAGGGAAGAACAAGUGCUAGUUGAAUAAGCUGGCACCUUGACGGUACCUAACCAGAAAGCCACGGCUAACUACGUGCCAGCCGCCGCCGUAA
rnacentral:rRNA from 1 species